AGAGUUUGAUCAUGGCUCAGGACGAACGCUGGCGGCGUGCUUAACACAUGCAAGUCGAGCGGAAAGGCUCCUUCGGGGGUACUCGAGCGGCGAACGGGUGAGUAACACGUGAGUAAUCUGCCCUUGGCUUCGGGAUAACUACCGGAAACGGUGGCUAAUACCGGAUAUGACCACUCCUUGCAUGAGGUGGUGGUGGAAAGUUUUUUCGGCCAGGGAUGUGCUCGCGGCCUAUCAGCUUGUUGGUGGGGUAAUGGGCCUACCAAGGCUUCGACGGGUAGCCGGCCAGAGAGGGUGACCGGCCACACUGGGACUGAGACACGGCCCAGACUCCUACGGGAGGCAGCAGUGGGGAAUAUUGGACAAUGGGCGGAAGCCUGAUCCAGCAACGCCGCGUGAGGGAUGACGGCCUUCGGGUUGUAAACCUCUUUCAGUACCGACGAAGCGCCGAUGAUGGUGGUGACGGUAGGUACAGAAGAAGCACCGGCCAACUACGUG
rnacentral:rRNA from 1 species